rnacentral:rRNA from 1 species
AUAUAAUUAAGCGGAGGAAAAGAAACUAACCAGGAUUGGAAUAGUAACGGCGAGUGAAGUUCCAAUAGCCCAGUAUGUGAAUCGUCACUUGUGUCGAAUUGUGGAAUGUUGGUUGAUUCGUUCAACUUGUAGGCCAAGUCCCCUGGAAUGGGGCAGCAGAGAGGGUGAUACUCCCGUGUGUCUUCAAGUGUGAGUUUCAACGUCGGAGUCGAGUUGUUUGGGAUUGCAGCUCCAAGCAGGUGGUAAAUUCCAUCUAAGGCUAAAUACUGGUGAGAGACCGAUAGCAUACAAGUACCGUGAGGGAAAGAUGCAAAGCCGCGCGAGAGCGCUGUCAAAGAGUACCUGAAGUUGCUGAAAAGGAAGCGAAGGAAACCAGUGUGAACCAACCCGCACUUCCCCAAUUGCUUGCAUUUGGGGCGCUGCGGCUGGUGUUGUUUUGGAAUUCGAUGGGCAUUGGAAUCUCUUUUGACUGUGCCUGUUGUGUUGUAAGACGAAAUGGUUUUCUUUUU